CUCCCCGCAGGCGGGAGUGGGGUGGGAGGGGAGCGAGCGCGUUGGUGACGCGGGGCGCUCACGUGACGUGGAGCUGCAGAGCGACGCAGCCUUCGGUGCAGUCGUCACUCCCGUCUGGGUACCUGCUCCCCGGUGUCCUGCGCCCCGCGGGCUGGCGUCAGGCCCGAGGAAAGCGGAGCAGGUCCACAGAUCUCAUGAGUUAAUAAGAUCUACUUUAGGGUAUAUCACCAAUCAAGAGAAAGAAAGAGGAGGGAACUGCCUUGAUCAUUACAGGUCCACCUCCAGUGGCAGCUGUAGUGGCCUUUAAGUGGCUGAAGACCAGCGCCCUCAGAGGCCUACACCCAGACCUACACCCUCUUUCCCCAUCCUGACUGAGCCCUCAUACCUUGUUUGUG
rnacentral:lncRNA from 1 species